rnacentral:rRNA from 1 species
UAAACUAGGAUUAGAUACCCUAUUAUUUUUGAGUGUUAAUUUUUUUGCUUGGUAGUAUUAGUCUAUGUUCUUGAAACUUAAAGAAUUUGGCGGUAUCUUAUUCCAUUCAGAGGAACCUGUCUCGUUAUCGAUAGUCCGCGUUGGACCUUACUUAGGGUUUAUUGGUUUGUAUACCGCCGUUUAUUGAUUAUCUUUUUAGGGUUGUUUAAUUUUCUUGUUUCUUUAUUUUGAUUUAUUUCAGGUCAAGGUGCAGCUUUUUCUAAGUGGUAUGAUGGGUUACAAUGUUAUUUGUUGUUUGGAUUAUAUGUUUUGAUACGUGUAUGAAAUUGGAUUUGGUUGUAAUGUUUUGUAGAUUGUUUUCGUGAUAAUUGGUUCUGAGAUAUGUACACAUCGCCCGUCGCUCUCGUUUCGUUUUGUUAAUGAGAUAAGUCGUAACAUAGUA